rnacentral:rRNA from 1 species
AUUGAACGCUGGCGGCAGGCCUAACACAUGCAAGUCGAGCGGAUGAAGGGAGCUUGCUCCUGGAUUCAGCGGCGGACGGGUGAGUAAUGCCUAGGAAUCUGCCUGGUAGUGGGGGAUAACGUCCGGAAACGGGCGCUAAUACCGCAUACGUCCUGAGGGAGAAAGUGGGGGAUCUUCGGACCUCACGCUAUCAGAUGAGCCUAGGUCGGAUUAGCUAGUUGGUGGGGUAAAGGCCUACCAAGGCGACGAUCCGUAACUGGUCUGAGAGGAUGAUCAGUCACACUGGAACUGAGACACGGCCCAGACUCCUACGGGAGGCAGCAGUGGGGAAUAUUGGACGAUGGGCGAAAGCCUGAUCCAGCCAUGCCGCGUGUGUGAAGAAGGUCUUCGGAUUGUAAAGCACUUUAAGUUGGGAGGAAGUGCAGUAAGUUAAUACCUUGCUGUUUUGACGUUACCAACAGAAUAAGCACCGGCUAACUUCGUG